UCUCGCCGGUGCUGCUGUCGUUGAUAUGUCACCUCGCCGGAGCUUCGAGCUCUCUUGCCAUGCGUGUCGUCCCUGCUCCAAAUGAGCAGAGGUUUGGUAUCAAGAGCUCGAGAAUUGAAGUGAAGCAAGAUUAUGAUGUCGUCCUAGAUUAAGGAUUGAGCUUGUAUCUAGUUAGUUGAUUGGAUAAUAGUUUAUGAUAUUUCGUUGUAUAAUAUUUGGGAAUUUUAGUUCAGUUAUUGGUGUAUUUAAGGAUGUUUUUCCGCUGCGAUUUUAUUUAAUUAAGAGUUAAUUAUUGGUUA